rnacentral:rRNA from 1 species
GACGAACGCUGGCGGCGUGCUUAACACAUGCAAGUCGAACGGAAAGGCCCUGCUUUUGUGGGGUGCUCGAGUGGCGAACGGGUGAGUAACACGUGAGUAACCUGCCCUUGACUUUGGGAUAACUUCAGGAAACUGGGGCUAAUACCGGAUAGGAGCUCCUGCUGCAUGGUGGGGGUUGGAAAGUUUCGGCGGUUGGGGAUGGACUCGCGGCUUAUCAGCUUGUUGGUGGGGUAGUGGCUUACCAAGGCUUUGACGGGUAGCCGGCCUGAGAGGGUGACCGGCCACAUUGGGACUGGGAUACGGCCCAGACUCCUACGGGAGGCAGCAGUGGGGAAUAUUGCACAAUGGGCGGAAGCCUGAUGCAGCAACGCCGCGUGCGGGAUGACGGCCUUCGGGUUGUAAUCCACUUUCGCCUGUGACGAAGCGUGAGUGACGGUAAUGGGUAAAGAAGCACCGGCUAACUACGUG